rnacentral:rRNA from 1 species
AUGCAAGUCGAGCGGGGGAAGGUAGCUUGCUACCGGACCUAGCGGCGGACGGGUGAGUAAUGCUUAGGAAUCUGCCUAUUAGUGGGGGACAACAUCUCGAAAGGGAUGCUAAUACCGCAUACGUCCUACGGGAGAAAGCAGGGGAUCUUCGGACCUUGCGCUAAUAGAUGAGCCUAAGUCGGAUUAGCUAGUUGGUGGGGUAAAGGCCUACCAAGGCGACGAUCUGUAGCGGGUCUGAGAGGAUGAUCCGCCACACCGGGACUGAGACACGGCCCAGACUCCUACGGGAGGCAGCAGUGGGGAAUAUUGGACAAUGGGGGGAACCCUGAUCCAGCCAUGCCGCGUGUGUGAAGAAGGCCUUAUGGUUGUAAAGCACUUUAAGCGAGGAGGAGGCUACUUUAGUUAAUACCUAGAGAUAGUGGACGUUACUCGCAGAAUAAGCACCGGCUAACUCUGUGCCAGCAGCCGCGGUAAUACAGAGGGUGCGAGCGUUAAUCGGAUUUACUGGGCGUAAAGCGUGCGUAGGCGGCUUAUUAAGUCGGAUGUGAAAUCCCCGAGCUUAACUUGGGAAUUGCAUUCGAUACUGGUGAGCUAGAGUAUGGGAGA